CAGGUAAACAAAAAGUUAGGGAUGCAUUGGUUUAAGUUACAUUUAUUUGGGAUCAGCAUCCCUGAUAUAGAACUUUUGAUUUUCCAACCUGUAGAAGCCAAAAAAAAGUUAUUUUGUAAAAUAAAGUGAGAAUGACUACUCUUUGACUUCUGAAAUCUGUGGUUUCAGUUUUUCUGAAACUGAAAGACAUCAAGUCUGGUGACAGAAGGAUCGUGAGUCUUUGUUGGUUUUAAAGUUAUUCUCAUGGUGAAGUCAAGUCUUGCUAGCUGAGGCCAGACCAUAGAAAAGUUACUUUGGGGACUCCAGUUCUAGAAUACCCUUGCCAUUAAGGAAGAAAGUGAUAACACUUCAGCAGAUGAUAACACAUUGAAGAAGCAAGCAACAACAGUGAUAAAAGGGGGAAAAUUCUCUUUAUUUGUUGCCAUCCGAAUUACUACAGACAUUUAAAAGGUCAGAUACAUGAUCAUAUAGCAAAACUUUUAAAAGAUGUUAGCUUCAUUAUUUAUGGAUGCAACUAGUUAAGAAAAACAUUCAGUGCUUGUUUGUAUAUAUGAAAACCCGUAUCCCCCCCCACAAAAACCCCUAAUUUUGUAGAAGUUACAACAAUUGAGAGCUAGAAAUUCAAGGAAGUUCUCCAAACAACCCAUCACAUUUUUUUUUUAAAAAAGCAGCAGUGAUCCCUCAAGAAUGAACAGGUUUUGGGUGGGCACAAAGGGGACGAGAAUACCCCCUGAACCCAUUCAAAAAGAGACAGUUUGUACUCAUAAUGUAUAAGUAACGAAUAGCACUGCAGGCAAUAUAUAUGUAUUCCAGAGCGAUUGUUUUCCUCUUAUGUAAAGCAGAUCAAUUCAAUUUAAACAGAGUAUGAAUAAACUAUU